AUAUACAUACAUACACACACACCACCUCUUUUUUAUUCAUUCAUCAGUCUAUGGACAAUUGGGCUCUCUCCAUAGUUUGGCUAUUGUUGAUUAAUGCUGCUAUAAACAUCGGGGUGCAUGUACCCCUUUGAAUCUGUAUUUUUGUAUCCUUUGGGUAAAUACCUAAUAGUGCAAUUGCUGGAUCAUAGGGUAGUUCUAUUUUUAAUUUUUUAUGCAUUAUGCAUAUGCAUAUGCAUUAUGCAUAUGUUUGAAUACUUGAUGUCCCACAGGUCUCUGAGGCUCUGUUCAACAUUUUUCAUUGUUUUCUUUCUGUUCUUCAGACUGGAUAAAUUCAGUUGACCUGUUCUGUCUUCAGUGAAGUUUGUUCAUUAUUUCUUCUGCCACAUCAAAUCUGAUCUUGUGCCCUUCUAAUGAAUUUCUAAUUUCUGGUUAUUGUACUUUUCAACUCCAGAAUAUCUUUUUGUUUUUUUUAAAUAAUUUUUAUCUCUUUAUUGAUAUUGUCUACAUAGUAAGACAUUGUCCUAUUACUUUCCUUUAGUUCUUUAGACGUGGUUACCCUUUAGUUUGAACAUAUUUAAAAUAGCUGAUUUAAAGUCUUUUGUCUAGCAAGUCUAGUAUCUGCACUUCCUUAGGGACAAUUUGUAUCAAUUGUUUUUGUCCUCCAUUGUGUCAGAUACUAUUCCUUGUUUCUUUGCUUGUCUCAUAAUUUUUGUUGAAAAUUAGACAUUUUAAAUAAUAUUACUUGGCAGCUUUCAGAGUCUCCCCUCCCCAGUGUUUGUUGUUAUCGCUGUCAUUGUUAUGUUGUUUAGUGAGUUUUCUAAACUGAUUGCGUAAAGUCUGUAUUCUUUAUCAUGUGUGGCCACUGAAAUCUCUACUCAGUAGGCUAGUCAGCUAAUGAUUUACCAGAUUUCCUCAAAUGCUUGGAGUUAAUAAGUCUCCUGGUCUGUGCCCAGGUGCUCUCUGUGCAUUGGUGGCACACACCUUCAACACUCAGAUGUGCUGUUGAGAACUCUGCCUUAGUCUUUACUUCUGCAUGUACAGAGCUUCAAGGUCAGCUGAGAAUAAGAGCUUAGGGUCUUCUUAGGUCUUUCCUGAGCAUGUGCAUGUCCCUGGGCAUGUAUGUGGCUUUCUAGAUUCCUAGGAAUACGUUGAAGCUUUCAAAGUUCCUAUGGGCAUUAUGAGAUUUUCCUUUUUUAGCUUUUAAAUUAGCCUCUUGCUUGCUCCAACUGUUAUUCACCACCUCAGGUGGCUGCGAAGUUAAUAACUUUCCUCUAAUUCUUUUCCAAGCAUGUCCCCUGGGGAAAGGCUGUUUGUACUGUGGAAGCUCCAAGCUAGCUUAAAGACAGUAGAGUCUUCCAAGGAACCAUCAGACAGGGAUUAGUAUCAUUCAAGGAUGUGUCAGUCAGUUUCACCCAGGUGGAGUGGCAGUGGCUGGACUCAGCUCAGAAGAUCCUGUGCAGGGACGUGAUGCUGGAGAACUACAGCAAACUGGUUGCAGUGGGGUGUCUUACAAUCAAACCAGAUGUGAUCUCCCAGUUGGAGCAAGGAGAAGAACCAUGGAUAAUAGAGGUGAUGUUCUCAAGCCAGAGUCUUCCAGGUGAGUUAUUGUGUACCCAAGAGAUGGAAGCUACUGGAAAUCAGAUCUUAAAGUGGACAGUUGGUUACUUGGUACCUGUAAUAUUUUCCUAUGGCCGUUGUAAUGGAAUACCACAAACUGGGUUACUUAAAACAACAGAAAUGUAUUCUCUCACUUCUGGAGGCUAGAAGUACAAAAUCAGGAUGUCAGCAGGGCCAUACUUUCUCCAAAGCCUCUAGGGGAAAAUCCUUCCUACCUCUUCCUAACUUCUGGUGGUUGCUGGCAAUCCUUGGCAUUCCUUGACUUACAGCUGACUCUAAUCCCUGUUUCUGUUAUCAUCUAGCCUUCCCUCUUUGUGUCCUCCCCUAAUUUAGGGCCCACCCUAAUCUAACAUGACCUCAUCCUAACUAAUUAUAUCUACCAAGACCCUAGUUCCAUAUAUCACAUUCUGAGGUUCUGGGUGGAUAUGAACUUUAGGGACAUUAUUCAGACUACUGUGAGAUCUCUGAAACAUUUUUGGAAAUCUCAUUUUAGAGACUUCAUACCUUCACAAAUAUUGAAGGAUGUCUGACCACCAUUCCCAAGAUGUUUAAAUUAACAUUUUGUAAUAUCACCUUCCUCUUAGAAUGUGCUCAUUCUCUACUUGAUGUUUAUAGAGACACUUUGCACUCUGACAUUACCCAAAUCUAAUUUCUAGUUACUGUAUUUUCAAUAUUUAUUUCUUCAUUAUUCUUCAGUUGCCCAAUUUCUUCCUAUUUUUAUAUACUCCUUUUGAUUUUCAUCAAUUUUGGAUAUAGCCUCUUUUUUUAAGUUUUUUUUAAGUUUUUCAGAUCAUGACGUGAGCUGAAGUUGGAUGCUCAACCGACUGAGCCACCCAGGUGCCCCAAGUUUUUUUAAAUGUUUAUUUAUUUUUGAAAGAGACAGAGAGAGUAUGAGCGGGGGAGGGGCAGAGAGAGAAGGAGACACAGAAUCCAAAGCAGGCUCCAGGCUCUGAGCUGUCAGCACAGAACCUGGUGUGGGGCUCGAACCCACAAACUGUGAGAUCAUGACUUGAGCUGAAGUUGGACGCUUAACCAACUGAGCCACCCAGGCACCCCAGUUUCUUUAGGAAUAGCUAAACAUCUAGUGAUUUAAACAUCUGUGCUCCAUCACGUAACUCUACUCCUUCCUUCUAUCCUUUCAUGGUGAAGUGCCUCAUGUUUUUCUGUGUUCAGACUCACUAUCCAUUUUCUCUUUUGUCCCUGCUGCUAAGAUUUCAUAGCCAUUGGGUUUUUGGCCCAGAAUGAUAAUUGCCUGUGUACCUUUGUGCUUUAUUUGGUAGUGCUCAAUAUUCCCUCUAUAAUACACCUAAACUUGUUUUUGGUAAGUAGAACUAAUUUGGUCACAUUCACC